GUGUCAGCAGCCGCGGUAAUACGGAGGAUGCAAGCGUUAUCCGGAUUUAUUGGGCGUAAAGCGUCCGUAGGUGGUGAUUCAAGUCUGCUGUUAAAGCGUGGAGCUUAACUCCAUAAUGGCGGUGGAAACUGAAUGACUGGAGUGCAGUAGGGGUAGCGGGAAUUCCCGGUGUAGCGGUGAAAUGCGUAGAUAUCGGGAAGAACACCAGCGGCGAAAGCGCGCUACUGGGCUGUAACUGACACUGAUGGACGAAAGCUAGGGGAGCGAAAGGGAUUAGAAACCCUUGUAGUCC
rnacentral:rRNA from 1 species